rnacentral:misc_RNA from 2 species
AUGAUUGCAAAUGGGUUGCCUUCGGUGCUGGCUCCUUGAAAGAGCAAGUGCACGUUGGUGGCUUUCAUCCAAUACCCUUGUGAACCUAGGCCUCUUGCUAGCUUCGGCUGGUGGAGGAUUUUUAUACAUACACACUCGAAUGUAAUGAAAAACUAUUGUCGUGCGCAAGCACUAAUGUA